UGAAGGCGUUCAGGUAGUGCUGUCAGAAAUAAUGAGGGGUCAAAAAGUGAAGUUAAGUUUAAGGCUGACAAGGCAGAUCAGAUUUAUUGCCAUCCUUGGCAGGAGAAACCGAGAAUUUGCGGAGCUGGAGGACCUUGGUGUGUCCUGAGAGACGGGUGUAAAAGUUUACCCAACUGGUACAAACAAAGAUCGAUGACCUGAUUAAAGAAGUGAAACCAGCAGCCGAGUCGCAAACCGGAGUUACAAGUGUUGGUGUCACAGGGGAGAAAUGAAUCGGUUAGUGUACAAGUGGCGAUCGGGGUCUGAGGGGCAAAUGUGGCCAACCAUUUCUCCAAAACCGGAAGGAGUUUUUGAGAUGGUAGUGCGUUGAAGUUCCUGGCCAGGAACCUGAAGGUUUGUUGAUGUCCCACAGUUUGUCCCCAUACCAUCUUUGCAGGAGAAGAGAGAUUUGAUGAAUAGCUUUGAGGGUAGGCCUACUCCCUGAAUCCUGACCUUGAGAUAUUAAGUCCACGAGAAAGGCAAGCAGGAAGGGCAAACCCAAAGGAAAGAGCAUUUCUCCGGAGGAACUGGAGCAGAGCUGGCCUUCACCACCCACCCUUUGGUCUUCACCAGAGCAUUACUUAACAUGGACAGGAGUAUGGACAACACAUGUGCAGAGAUGUGGAUGACACUGCAUUGGAUGAGCUCUGGCCAAAGCUUGCAGUUGUAGGUGAUACCGUCAUCAUCCUCAUCAUCUCCAUUACACAGAUGAAGAAACUGAGGGACAGAGAAGUUAAGGAAUUUCUGGCUAGAACGUGGCAGAGCUGAGAGCACAGCCUGCUUUCGAGAGCGUGUGCCCAACCACCGCAGGCUGGCUUUCCACCUCCUCCCACCAUCUUGGCUGAGAGCUGCCACCUGCUAAAAGAAACCAUGCUGGUCUGAAGGCGUGCAGGUGCCCUCGGUGCCUAUUCAGCAGUUCCCUACUGAAGACUGGAGCGCCCAGCUGGCCACUGAAGACUGGUCUGCAGCUCCCACUGCUCAGGCCACUGAAUGGGUAGGAACAACCACUGAGUGGUCUUAAGCUGGUCUUCCACAAAGGCACACAAAAUGGAAAUAGAAAUGGAAAAGGUUGACGGAAAAUAAACA